rnacentral:rRNA from 1 species
GAAAUGCAUUUAGGUGCAGCGUUUGCGAUAUUAUGUCAUGGAGGUAGAGCUACCAAUAGGGCUAGGGGGCUUCACCGCCUACCAACCCCUGAUGAACUCCGAAUGCCAUGACAUGUAGCAAGCAGUGAGGCGUUGGGUGCGAAGGUCCAGCGCCGAGAGGGAAACAACCCAGACCAUCAGCUAAGGUCCCCAAAUAUAUGUUAAGUUGAAUAAACGAGGUUGAACUGCUUUGACAGCUAGGAUGUUGGCUUGGAAGCAGCCAUUCAUUUAAAGAGUGCGUAACAGCUCACUAGUCGAGCGUUCCUGCGCGGAAAAUAAUCGGGCAUCAAGUUAAUCACCGAAGCUAUGGAUUGAUAUUUAUAUCAAUGGUAGGGGAGCAUUCCAGUGUUACAGAAGGUGUACUGUGA